rnacentral:rRNA from 1 species
UACGUAGGGUGCAAGCGUUGUCCGGAAUUAUUGGGCGUAAAGGGCUCGUAGGCGGUCCAUCGCGUCGGGAGUGAAAAGCUGGGGCUCAACCCCAGUCCUGCUUCCGAUACGGGUGGACUAGAGGUAUGCAGGGGAGAACGGAAUUCCUGGUGUAGCGGUGAAAUGCGCAGAUAUCGGGAGGAACACCAGUGGCGAAGGCGACUACCUGGCCUGUUCUUGACGCUGAGGCGCGAAAGCUAGGGGAGCAAACGGG